rnacentral:rRNA from 1 species
ACCGGCGAUUUCCGAAUGGGGAAACCCAGUGUGAUUCGUCACACUAUCAUUAACUGAAUCCAUAGGUUAAUGAGGCGAACCGGGGGAACUGAAACAUCUAAGUACCCCGAGGAAAAGAAAUCAACCGAGAUUCCCCCAGUAGCGGCGAGCGAACGGGGAGGAGCCCAGAGCCUGAAUCAGUGUGUGUGUUAGUGGAAGCGUCUGGAAAGGCGUGCGAUACAGGGUGACAGCCCCGUACACAAAAAUGCACAUACUGUGAGCUCGAUGAGUAGGGCGGGACACGUGGUAUCCUGUCUGAAUAUGGGGGGACCAUCCUCCAAGGCUAAAUACUCCUGACUGACCGAUAGUGAACCAGUACCGUGAGGGAAAGGCGAAAAGAACCCCGGCGAGGGGAGUGAAAAAGAACCUGAAACCGUGUACGUACAAGCAGUGGGAGCCUCUUAAUGGGGUGACUGCGUACCUUUUGUAUAAUGGGUCAGCGACUUAUAUUCUGUAGCAAGGUUAACCGAAUAGGGGAGCCGAAGGGAAACCGAGUCUUAACUGGGCGUUAAGUUGCAGGGUAUAGACCCGAAACCCGGUGAUCUAGCCAUGGGCAGGUUGAAGGUUGGGUAACACUAACUGGAGGACCGAACCGACUAAUGUUGAAAAAUUAGCGGAUGACUUGUGGCUGGGGGUGAAAGGCCAAUCAAACCGGGAGAUAGCUGGUUCUCCCCGAAAGCUAUUUAGGUAGCGCCUCGUGAAUUCAUCUCCGGGGGUAGAGCACUGUUUCGGCAAGGGGGUCAUCCCGACUUACCAACCCGAUGCAAACUGCGAAUACCGGAGAAUGUUAUCACGGGAGACACACGGCGGGUGCUAACGUCCGUCGUGAAGAGGGAAACAACCCAGACCGCCAGCUAAGGUCCCAAAGUCAUGGUUAAGUGGGAAACGAUGUGGGAAGGCCCAGACAGCCAGGAUGUUGGCUUAGAAGCAGCCAUCAUUUAAAGAAAGCGUAAUAGCUCACUGGUCGAGUCGGCCUGCGCGGAAGAUGUAACGGGGCUAAACCAUGCACCGAAGCUGCGGCAGCGACACUAUGUGUUGUUGGGUAGGGGAGCGUUCUGUAAGCCUGUGAAGGUGUACUGUGAGGUAUGCUGGAGGUAUCAGAAGUGCGAAUGCUGACAUAAGUAACGAUAAAGCGGGUGAAAAGCCCGCUCGCCGGAAGACCAAGGGUUCCUGUCCAACGUUAAUCGGGGCAGGGUGAGUCGACCCCUAAGGCGAGGCCGAAAGGCGUAGUCGAUGGGAAACAGGUUAAUAUUCCUGUACUUGGUGUUACUGCGAAGGGGGGACGGAGAAGGCUAUGUUGGCCGGGCGACGGUUGUCCCGGUU